rnacentral:rRNA from 1 species
AGCGAACGCUGGCGGCAUGCUUAACACAUGCAAGUCGAGCGGACAUCCUUGUGGUUUCCGCGGCAGACGGGUGAGUCACGCGUGGGAACGUGCCCUUCGGUUCGGAAUAACUCAGGGAAACUUGAGCUAAUACCGGAUACGUGCGAGAGCAGAAAGGUUUAUCUUCCGAAGGAUCGGCCCGCGUCUGAUUAGCUAGUUGGUGAGUUUACGGCUCACCAAUGCGACGACCAGUAGAUGGGCUGAGAGGAUGAGCAGACACACUGGCACUGGGACACGGCCCAGACUCCUACGGGAGGCAGCAGUGGGGGAUAGUGGACAAUGGGGGCAACCAUGAUGCAGCCAUGCCGGGUGAGUGAUGACGGCCUGAGGGAUGUAAAGCUCUUUUAACCGGGACGAUAAUGACGGUACCGGAGGAAUAAGCCCCGGCUAACUUCGUG